AAAUUUACAGAUUAAGAUACAUCCAAUUCAAGUUGGUCUUUGAAACUGAAGCAACAGACUUUACGAGGACUGGGGGACAGAAGUGUGCAGUUUUUCCCCGAUGGACCACUCGCUCUCUGGUUUUGCCUGCUGUCACCAGCCCCUCUUCCAACCACCUCCUUCCCCGACGGCACUGUAACCGUGCUUUUCCUGAACCCGGUGGUCAAGGCGCCCACCUUCUCCAUGGCUCUCCCACCUCCUUCCAACAGCCUUGGGGGACAAGUGGAACCACGUCCAGCUGAGCAAACGAAUUCACCGACAAGUGGUACCAGAGCCUCCACAUGCUGCCUUUUGCUUCCAAAUCCCACCAGGUUUCUGAUCUACAAGUCAGUUUCCUACCAGAGUCGAGGGCAUGUGCACAGCCCCAUGAUCACCUUCAGUCAAAGGGAGGCCCAGGGACAGCAGCUUCUGACGGGAAAGUCUUUCCUGCCCCCACGCCUUCCCAAAUCUUCCCUGAGGGGCCUCCAGCCACAUUCCUGUCCAGCCCAGGAGAACAGCUGGAGGCCCUGGGGCUGGAUGGACCACACAGGCCUCCAGGGCACAAUUCUUUUUUUUUUUUUUUUUUUUUGUCUUUUUGCCAUUUCUUGGGCCGCUCCCGCGGCAUAUGGAGAUUCCCAGGCUAGGGGUCUAAUCGGAGCUGUAGCCACCGCCUACGCCUGAGCCACAGCAACUCAGGAUCUGAGCCGCGUCUGCGACCUACACCACAGCUCCCGGUAACGCCGGAUCCUUAACCCACUGAGCAAGGCCAGGGAUCAAACCCACAACCUCAUGGUUCCUAGUCGGAUUCGUUAACCACUGUGCCACGACGGGAACUCCAGGGCACAAUUCUAACAGAAGCUUCAGGAAGAGCCCGCAGCCUCACUCCCUGGACCAGCUUGUGAGGAACCUGGAAGAGUUCCUCGGGGUUCCCGGCCCACACCCAGGAGGGGCCCCCAGUUGUCUGCCCGGCAGCCCACACUGGCCUCCAUCGCCAGUGCAGGCAGCAAAAACUGAGGCUGGGAGGGCGGGACGCGUGCCUGGAAACUGACGUAGCAUUGCAGGGAGGACAGCCAGCCAGGAUGAGGCCAGGUCCCCAUCUGGAAACAAGCCAGACACUGCAGUGGCCCCUGGGAUGGUGCAGACCCCACUGUGCUCGACACGACACAGCAGAAGCGUGGGGGCCACAGAUGCCCCAGGAAGCCUCAGCUGUCGGACUCUGCCAGGCCCACCCCACUGGACACACGCCUGGGCCUACCUGUCUCCGCCGCGUCCUCCAUGAAGUAGCUGCACCGAUUGCCGUCUGUCUGCAGCUCGUCACUGCCCGAAGUGUGCACAGGCAGCUCGUGGCCCAGCACCUCCAGCUCCUUGUGGAAACUGGCAUGGGGGCAGCUUUGGAGGAAGCCAAACACCAGUAGGUUUGUGAUGCGCUCGUCCUGGAGGCUGGAACCGUUGCUGACCUGAGGAAAAAGGGCCUGUAAGAACCUGGGCCCAGGCAGCCGGGCAGGAUAGCCGCCUGGCCCAGGGGCCCGAACACCCUCUCAGUGGGCAGAGGCUGGGUCUGCAGGGCCUGCUUUAGGCGAGGCCACCAUAGAUGCCAGAGAGAAAGCUCUGGUCCUAGGGAAGCCUCUCACCUGCCGUUUGCCUUCAUCCUGACCUCUGGCCGGGCGCUUCCCCUGGCAGAAGCUGCCAUCCUUGCUCCCAUGCACUUUUGACAGGUCCCACAUACCUUUUACCAACCUGAGCCUCCUUCACCAGCGCUGAGCCCUUCCUCUUCCCUAAUCUCCCUGUGGGCACAGGAAGGUAUUGUGCAGACAGCAGAUUUUUAACACGUAUAGGGCAGUAGUGUCCACAGACAACACCUGCUCUGGGCAGGCCCAGCUGGCCUCAGGUGGGCAAGCCCCUCAACCCAGAGAAUAGCUCCUGCCUCCUGAGCGGCAUUGUGGGGGCUGCAUGUGGCAGCCCAUGUGCACUGAGACACCCCAAGACCCAGGACAGGAGGGGGCCAUCCUGGAGGCCAGGGUGCGAGGUCUGCCAGCUCAGCACAUGCAGUACCCACCCUGGCUGGAAGGAAGCAAACAAGGCACAGGUACCUUCAGUUCUGUCUUCCUAGUCCUUAACAUUUUUCACCAGAAAACUUUUAGAGGACCAUUUUUAGAGGACAAAUUGUCUUAAUUAAAAUGUAUAAAACAAGGUGCUUAUGUAUUGCUAUUGGCCUUUACUUCUCCAGAAUUACUAUUUAAAAAGAGGGGAAUGUAUGCAAAAGCUCAAUUGCAUUAAAUCUUUACAGUGAGGCCAGGUGGCAGGGGCAGCUUAAAAACUGUAGAACUGGAGUUCCCACUGUGGUGCAGUGGGGUAAGACUCCAACUGCAGCAGCUCGGGUCACUACAGAGGCACAGGUUGGAUCCCCAGCCUGGUGCAGUAGGUUGAAGGAUCCAGCAGUGCCUAUGCUGCAGCUGCAGCUUGGAUUCAAUCCCUGACCUGGGAACUUCCAUAUAGCGUGGGCACAAGCAAAAAAUUUAUGUAAAGAGAAAGGAUCAAGACUUUGGCAGUUGUGGAGUUCCUGUCAUGGCUCAGCAGAAAUGAAUCUGGCUAGCAUCCAUGAGGAUGCAGGUUGAUUCCUGGCCUUGCUCAGUGAGUUAAGGAUCCUGCGUUGCUAUGAGCUAUGCUGUAGUCACAGAUGCAGCUCAGAUCUGAUGUUGCUGUGGCUGUGGGGUAGGCCGGGGGCUACAGCUGAUUCAACUCCUAGUCUGAGAACUUCCACAUGCCAUGGAUGCGGCCCUCAAAAGACAAAAAAAAAAAAAAAAAAGCCUUAGGCAAUCUUUCUGGACAUAUUACAGAGCUGAUCUAUAGGAGGGAAAAUAACUUGCGCUAUAAAUCAGUCCCAGUGCAGAGAAAACAGUGGAAAGCUUUGUGAUAAGAAUCUUAGUGCUCAAAGCCUGUGAAAUUAGUGCCAAGCAACAGUAAUAAACCCAAACCUGAGACAUUAUGCUCAGUGAAAUAUGCCAGACAUAAGAGGACACACACUACACAAGCCCUAGCACCUGUGUGGUCCCUGAAGUGUCGAAUUCCCAGAGAAAGAAAGUGGAGUGAUGGGGCCAGGGGUACAGUGCUGAAUGCCACUAAGCUGAACACUUAAAACAGGCUAAAACAGUAAAUGUCGUGCCAAUGUAUAUUUUUACUAAUUUUUAAAAACUGGAAAAAAAUUUCAAAGUCAGAAAAAUUGAUAGCAGGAUGACAAUUCUGUUGCAGGGAGGGGAAGAGGAAAUAGAUGUCUCACCAGCAACUACAACUAUGGACACUCCUGUCUCGGGUUUCUCAGCUUGAAGGAAAAGAAAGGAAAAGAGAAGCCCUGGGAGCAAUCCUGUCCUCCUUCCUCACUGACAAGUCAUCAGGAAACAGGACCAGGGAAGGCAGCAGGGGUCCUGCCAGGAGGGCACAGGGCAGGGGCACCAAAUGGCAUUUCAGCCCUGAGGACUGGCCUGUUCCCACUAGGGCAGCUCCUGAAAUCUCUUCUGUUCAAGACCGGAUGUUUCGCUAGAGCUCAUGACAUCUGAGACCCUUGGCCACCAGGGUCCCCACCUCCUGAGAAGGACGCUGGUAAAGUCCAGACUGAGGCCCUUGCAGGUACGGGGCUGCUUGCUGCUCAGGACUCACAGAGCAGGCACCAAGCUUAGGAAAGUCUCCUGGCCUAUCCAGGGGGUGGCCAGGUAUAGGUGCAGGAGGAGGUGGGGAGAUGCCACAAGCUUGUCAUCGUCAUCCCCCGCUAUGGAUGUGAGGCUCCUUCUGCAAGGCCUCAGCCACCCGUGUCCCCAAAGCCUUCUUCCAGGACAACCGCACCAUCUGACCUUAGAAUCCAUGGCCCACACGCUCCGGCUCACAGGGGUCCAAGUCAGCAGCCUGGAAGAGAACACACAGGAUGGUGCUGGCCCUGCAGGGACAGCCCCAGGAUCCCCCAGGAAACAGGGAGCCAUCUGGGCCCGGGCUCUGCUGCUCAUCCCAAUAGCAUGCACUCCUCUUUACUGAGACGGAGACUCCCCAGCCUCAGGGGCCAAGGCUCCCACCUCGAGCUCACUCUUCAGGCCCAGGGGGGCAGUUGGGCUUAUGGGCUCUUUCUCCAUAAGUACUUAACAGCACUGGGUUUCCCCCGUGGUUAACGCCUAGACACUGUCAGGGAUCUGCUGUUCUUACCAUGGCCCCAUACCACCCUCCCCUCGACAAGUACACUGUCCCUUCAGCUACAGCCCCAGAGCAGGGACCUGUGACUCAGCCUCACAGCUACUGAGGGCCAGGCAGUGUCCGUGGACGGGACUAGACGCAGCCAGGCAGGCCAGCUCCCAGGCCAUGGGCUUCAAGGGUAGAGAAGAUCAGUCUUCUCAUAGAGCUCUAGUCAGAUGUGUAUAAAGAAAAAGAAUGUGUAUUUGAUAGCUACACAACGAUUACAGCUCCCAUGUGGCACAUAAUUCCACAUUAAAUAACCCAAACAACUGAGCAGACCCAGUGGAAUCUAAGUUUAAAAAGGAACAGAGAAGAAAGAAACGAAUCUGACUGGUAUCCAUGAGGAUGCGGGUAUGAUCCCUGGUCUCGCUCAGGUUAAGGAUCCAGUGUUGACGCAAGCGGUGUAGGUCACAGACACAGCUCGGAUCCCACGUUGUUGUAGCUGUGGUAUAGGACGGCAGCUGCAGUUCUGAUUUGACCCCUAGCUUGGAACUUCCAUAAGCUGUGGGUGCAGCCCUUAAAAAAAAAAAAAAAAAAAAAAAACAGAGAAAAGAAUGAGAGCUCUGUUUGCAUUAGGAGAGAUGUCCAGACAGACUAGACAAGUUUCUGCAGAGCAGUCUCACCAGAAUAAUCAUACACCUGCAUCCGUGUGUUCCCACAGUAUUAGGCUAAGGCAAGUGAAUCAGUCACUUUGUAGGGCAAAAACAGCCAAACACGGCAAUUCCAUAUGGUUCCUAAACACACAAGAGGUAAAAACAACCAGCUCAUCUCCGUGGAAAGGGUAAGGUUCCCACUGAGGGCAGGCGGCAAGGCCAGGGUGGUGCCAAGGGUGGGUGGGGGGUGCUCACCCAGCUUCAGUGGCCCUGUACCCCAAGCCGCCCCUGGGAGGUUAGUCCUCGUAGUUUUGUCGUACCUGCAUUCUCAGACUCAACCAACCACAGGCCGUGGGGUAGUUACUAAUGAGAAACAUGUGCAGAAGUGGAUCCGUGCCGCCCAAACCAUGUUGUGCCUUCACGUGUUCACAGCUCUCUCCAUAAAAAUGCGGAGUCAGAGGAGAGCACGUGCUAACCCAGACCAGGACCCAGAGGAACGGAGCAGGGGAGCUCACUGCUGGGCCAUGGUUUGGAGAAGGUGAAUUUCCUCUUACUCCUUCUGAAAUGAACACUUAUUAAGGAUUUUCUAUGUAACUCCUUAUUUAACAGGGAAACAAUAAGAUGAUAAAAAUACUCAAAGGAACCCAAGAUCCACAUUCACAGGCAGGGCACAUGCAUUUCUACUGACAAAUCAUUUCCUUCAGCAUCAGUUUUUUGCAACUUACAAAGGCAUAAAAUAGCUCAAAGACAAGAUAUCCAGAAAGGGAGAGCUGGCCAAAAUAUCCUGGGUUUUGAGCCAUUUCAAGAUCUUUCAUGGUUCCCCCAUUGGUCUCCAGCCUAUGACAUGAUCUCAAAGACUAACACAAAACGGCGGGAGGGUCUCAUUAGAGAGGCCUGUCACAUUUGUGCAGCAAGAAUGCUCAUUAACCAGCCAGGCCACCUAGGGUUUCUCUUGCAAGUUUAGAUCCCUGCUUUUUUUUUCUUUUCAGGGCCGCACCUAUGGAAUAUAGAAGUUCCCAGGCAUGGGGCUGAAUCAGAACUGCAGCUGCCAGCCUACGCCACAGCCACAGCAAUUCCAGAGCCAAGCCUUGCGACCUACACCACAGCUCAUGGCAACGCUGGAUCCUUAACUCACUGAGGGAGGCCAGGGAUCAAACCCACCUCCUCAUGGAUACUAGUCAGGUUCAUUACCACUGAGCCACAAUGGGAACUCCCUAGAUCCCUGCUAUUAAACAACUACUGAGGUCACAAAACCACCUUCCAUCUGGAAAUUUCCAUAUCUCAGAUUGGACUCUGCUAUCCUGAGGGUGGAAGUCAGGCCUAAGCAAUUCCACAGGCUUCACCCGCAGCUCCCUUCAAUGUGUGCAAAUUCCUCUAGGGUUGGGGGGGAGCCCAGGCACUGGGAACAAGGGCGACUAACUCAGAUAUGGCACAUGGCGGAGGGUAGGGACACUCCUGUGGGGGCUGCCCCCUGGCAACAGCUCCCGUGGGACGGCCUUCACCCUAUGGCCCCAAGUUGGAGGCAGGGACAGAAAUUAGGAAAACUCUUGGUUAUUGAUCCAGUCCUGAAGUUAUUUUCAGCUUGCUGGGCUGGUUGCUAGGGGUGACGGCUAGCAGGUCACUGUUUUACAGUCCGGCCACUGGCCACCUGAAUAUUCAGUUCCUGCCUCAGGUCCCCAGAUCACAGGAAGUAACCUCCUACCAGAAAGGGCAGGUCCUCAGGGCCAGAACGGUUUUCAGUGGUGGUGGUGGGGGGGGUCCUCGAGCCUUUGCUCCCUACAAGGUAAAUUAGUUCUGUGACAAGUGGCUUGUCAUGGCUGAUCACAAGAGCAUCAUUCAGAAAUAUGACUUUCUCAAGAAGGCUCUCAAUUUGUCCAAUUUAUUAUAUCCCGGUAAAAAGAACAAAGGACAGUACGGCAGUUUCUCAAAAAAAAGAAAAUGACACAAUUACCAUAUGCACUAUAACUACUACUUCUGGGCAUGUGCACAAAAGAAGUGACAGCAGGGACUUCCUGGCCACAUCACUCACCACAGCUACAAGGUGGAAACAAACAUGUCCAUCCACACAAUGAGUGUCAUUCAGCCUCAAAAAGAUGGGUAUCCUGGCACCUGUGGCAACAUGGAGGCACCCCAGGCCAAGACACCAAACCAACAAGGCAGCUGCCACAGUAAAUACUGUGUCAGUCCACACACAUGAAAAAUCAUGCCUGCUUUUUGGAGAAUCAAGUCCUUGUUAAUGCCACAGAGCUGUACACUUAAAAUGAUUAAAAUACCACAAUACGAUUACCAAGGACAUUUUUCACAGAACUUGAACAAAAUAUUUUAAAGUUGUUUGGAAGCACAAAAGACCCAGAGUAGCCAAAGACAUCCUGAAAAAGAAAAAUGGAGCUAGAGGAAUCAGGCUCCCUGACUUCAGACUAUACUACAAAGCAACAGUCAUCAAAACCACAUGGUACUGACACAAAGACAGAAAUGUAGGUCAGUGGAACAGGAUAGAAAGCCCAGAAUUAAACCCACACACCUACAGUCAACUAAUCUAUGACCAAGGAGGCAAGAAUAUACAAUGGAGAAAAGACGGCCCUUUUAAUAAGUGGUGCUGGGAAAACUGGACAGCCACAUGUGAAAGAAUGAAAUUACAACACUCCCUGACACCAUACACAAAAAUAAACUCAAAAUGGAUUAAAGACCUAGAUAGAACACCAGACACUAUCAAACUCCUAGAGGAAAACACAGGCCAAACACUCUCUGACAUAAACGACAGCAACAUCUUCUCAGAUCCACCUCUUGGAGUAAUGACGGUAAAAACAAAAAUAAACAAAUGGGACGACUUAAUUAAACUUAAAAGUUUCUGCACAGCAAAGGAAACCCUAAACAAAACGAAAAGACAACCCACAGAAUGGGAGAACAUCUUUGCACAUGAAUCGACUGACAAGGGAUUCAUCUCCAAAAUUUAUAAACAUCUACCAAUCAAUUCCAAAAAAAAUAAACCACCCCAUCGAAAAAUGGGCAGAAGAUCUAAACAGACGAUUCUCCAAAGAAGACAAACGGAUAGCCAAAAAAACACAUGAAAAGAGGUUCAACAUGACUCAUUAUUAGAAAAAUGCAAAUCAAAACCACUAUGAGGUACCAUCUUACACUGGCCAGAAUGGCCAUCAUCCAAAAGUCUACAAACAAUAAGUGCUGGAGAAGGUGUGAAGAAAAAGGAAUCCUGUUACACUGUUGGUGGGAUUGUAAAUUGGUGCAACCACUGUGGAAAACUGUAUGGAGAUUCCUCAGAAAACUAAAAGUAGAAUUACCAUUUGAUCCAGCAAUCCCAGUCUUGGGCAUCUAUCCAGAGAAAACCAUGACUUGCAAAGACACACGUACUCCAAUAUUCAAUGCAGCACUAUUUGCAAUAGCCAAGACAUGGAAACCGCCUAAAUGCCCAGUGACAGAGGAGAAGAUCAAGAAGAUGUGGUACAUGUACACAAUGGAAUACUACCCAGCCAUUAAAAGGAACGAAAUAACAGUAUUUUUAUUUUUUUUUAAUUUUUUUAUUUUUUAAAGUCCCUUGACUCUCUUGCUGAGGUGGUUUUAUUUUAUUUUAUUUAUUUAUUUAUUUGGUCUUUCUGUCUUUUCUAGGGCUGCACCCUCAGCAUAUGGAGGCUCCCAGG